rnacentral:rRNA from 1 species
UACGGAGGGUGCAAGCGUUGUCCGGAAUCACUGGGCGUAAAGGGCGCGUGGGCGGCUCAUGAAGGCUGUGGUGAAAGUCCGGGGCUCAACCUCGGAUCGGCCGUGGCGACUCGUGGGCUGGAGCACUGUAGAGGCGGGUGGAAUUCCUGGUGUAGCGGUGGAAUGCGCAGGAUAUCAGGAGGAACACCGGUGGCGAAGGCGGGUCUCUGGGCA